rnacentral:rRNA from 1 species
CCUACGGGAGGCAGCAGUAGGGAAUAUUGCUCAAUGGGGGAAACCCUGAAGCAGCAAAGCCGCGUGGAGGAUGAAGGUUUUCGGAGUGUAAACUCCUUUUGUUAGAGAAGAUAAUGACGGUAUCUAACGAAUAAGCACCGGCUAACUCCGUGCCAGCAGCCGCGGUAAUACGGAGGGUGCAAGCGUUACUCGGAAUCACUGGGCGUAAAGAGCGCGGAGGCGGGAUAGCAAGUCAGAUGUGAAAUCCUAUGGCUUAACCAUAGAACUGCAUUUGAAACUGUUAUUCUAGAGUAUGGGAGAGGUAGGUGGAAUUCUUGGUGUAGGGGUAAAAUCCGUAGAGAUCAAGAGGAAUACUCAUUGCGAAGGCGACCUGCUAGAACAUAACUGACGCUGAUGCGCGAAAGCGUGGGGAGCAAACAGGAUUAGAUACCCGGGUAGU